rnacentral:rRNA from 1 species
UACGUAGGGGGCAAGCGUUGUCCGGAAUCAUUGGGCGUAAAGAGCGUGUAGGCGGCCCGAUAAGUCCGCUGUGAAAGUCCAGGGCUCAACCCUGGAAUGCCGGCGGAUACUGUCGGGCUCGAAAUCCGGAAGAGGUGAGUGGAAUUCCUGGUGUAGCGGUGAAAUGCGCAGAUAUCAGGAGGAACACCAAUGGCGAAGGCAGCUCACUGGGACGGUAUUGACGCUGAGACGCGAAAGCGUGGGGAGCAAACAGG